rnacentral:rRNA from 1 species
UACAGAGGUGGCAAGCGUUGCUCGGAAUCACUGGGCUUAAAGGGCGCGUAGGCGGUGCGGUACGGUUGCGGUGAAAUCCCUCGGCCCAACCGAGGAACAGCCGGAGCUACGGCCGGACUAGACGGCAGCAGGGGACAGUGGAACUCCCGGUGGAGCGGUGAAAUGCGUAGAGAUCGGGAGGAACACCCGUGGCGGAGGCGGCCUGCUGGGCCGAUCCUGACGCUGAGGCGCGAAGGCGUGGGGAGCGAACGGG